GAUGAACGCUGGCGGCGUGCCUAAUACAUGCAAGUCGAGCGAACAGACGAGGAGCUUGCCCCUCUUACGUUAGCGGCGGACGGGUGAGUAACACGUGGAUAACCUACAUAUAAGACUGGGAUACCUUCGGGAAACCGGAGCUAACACCGGAUAAUAUAUUGAACCGCAUGGUUCAACAGUGAAAGACGGUUUUGCUGUCACUUAUAGAUGGAUCCGCGCCGCAUUAGCUAGUUGGUAAGGUAACGGCUUACCAAGGCGACGAUGCGUAGCCGACCUGAGAGGGUGAUCGGCCACACUGGAACUGAGACACGGUCCAGACUCCUACGGGAGGCAGCAGUAGGGAAUCUUCCGCAAUGGGCGAAAGCCUGACGGAGCAACGCCGCGUGAGUGAUGAAGGUCUUCGGAUCGUAAAACUCUGUUAUUAGGGAAGAACAAAUGUGUAAGUAACUAUGCACGUCUUGACGGUACCUAAUCAGAAAGCCACGGCUAACUACGUG
rnacentral:rRNA from 1 species